GCAAGAUAAAAUCAAGCCGGCCAUAUUUGUCAAUGAUGUUACUCCAAUUAGAAGAAGAAAAACUUUGCAGCAGUUUAUAAGAUUGUCAAGGUUAUCCUGUACCAGAGCACGACGCUUGAUAGUAGUCAUAUAGAAGAGGCCGAUUGUCAUCAGAUCGGGGCAAGGAGUGCAAGAGAGAAGAUUAUCAAGAUGGUUUCGAGAGGAGGAAGGUGUCUGUGUUCGGUGCUCAUAUUGACAGGUUUCCUGUUGGGAGCAGCAAAUGGAGCUACAAGUAAGUUGUUUAUCAUAACCACAGUUUUUAUUCUAGAGAGAU